CUGCUGACCUCCAGCCCCUGGCUCAUCCCGAAAGCCUCCAUUGCGGGCGCCCCCUCCCCUGAACUCCCAGCCAGCAACUCUCCCAGAAACAGGAUGGCUGACAGCACAGUUCUACACCCACGGGCCUCCUGUGCUCCUUGGAACUGCCAGGAGCAGUGGGCGGCCUGCACCGCAUGGUGUGUUUGAGGAGGCGUGCCCAGAGCGGGCAAGGGACUGACUCCGAGGACGCAGGGGGGGCCAGCCCUGAGCGGCUUGUGGUCUACAAUUCCACCACCGAAGAAUCAAUUGCAAUUACUGCCUGCUGCCCCACCCAGCACCCCUAGCACCCCCCGACCAGCAUCAGCAACCCCAGCACCCCCAGCACCCCUGCAACACCAGGACCACUCACACCCUUCCUACUAUCCAACCAAGAGCGGCGGCAGGCUCCAUGCCCCUGUGGGCACCUCAGGUGGGAGAACGCCUCUGACUCAGCAGAUGGAGGCCACUGUGUAUCACGGCUCAGGGAUGCUGGCCGGGACCUCUGGGGACAAGGAGGAGGUCUGACCUCUGCGAAGUCUGACCUCUGCAAAGCCAAAGCUGGCUUUGGUGCUCACCUCCCCCACCAGGAAGGCCUCCAAGGUCUGCAUUGACCACACUCGGAUCAAACUCUGAUGGCCCAGCUCACCCAGGACAGGAAUGACAGGACCUGCCCAGCCAGGAAGCCAGCCAAACCACACCCCACAAGCUGCAUCUAUCCCAAGAGGGAGCCCCCCAUGUCGUGUUUCCCAACACCACUGCUGAUGCCAAAUGUGUGGGGUUUCUCCCCCCCACACCAAUGAACUCUCCAUCUCUCUAGAGGCCAACUGGGUGUCCUCCCAUCUGACUCAAUUCUGUCACUAACGACCUGAGUUAGCACAGAUCCCACAGUUUAAACACUUAGUCUGACCAAACUGCCCCCCUUUACAGAGCGGUGCAAUCUUAGGCCUCCUUGUACUUUGGACUGACCAUCUACAGGUGCUGGAAGUUGCCAUGAUCCCCUUCUCAGAUUUCAUAAUUUGCCAGAUGGCUCCCAGAGCUCAGGGAAACUGAUCAGUAUCAGUAUGUGAUACAGAUUGUUGUAAAGGAUACAGAUGAACAGCCAGAGGAUCAAAAAAGAAAUAAAUGAAAGUAAAACAAAAACUUAGUUUUUAACUGAUCUGGUAACAAUGUGUUCAAAAUAAUAAUAGCAACAACGUAUUUGGUAUGUGUAUGCUUGUGUAUAAAUGAAAUGAAUAAUUAAGCA